AUGCUAGAUGACACAGCCCCAAAGAGCAGGAGAGUUGGUCUGCUGUUGGGUGAACUUAGUCCCGCGGGAGAUAGAAAUCUUGUGGAUAUCCCCAACAAGGAUGUCGAGGGACUGAAGAAACUCAACAAGAAUAAGAAGCUGGUCCAGAAGCUGGCUAAGAAGUAUGGUGCCUUUUUGCCUUCAGAAUCUCUGAUCAAGCAGAUCCCACAAAUCCUGGGCCUUGGCCUACAUAAGUCUAGCAAGUUCCUUUUCUUGAUGAACCACAGUGAGAAUAUGGUGGCCAAAGUCAAUGAAGUGAAAUCCGUGAUCAAAUUCCAGAUCAGGAAGGUGCUGUGUCUGGCAGUGGCCAUUGGUCACGUGAAGAUGACAGAUGAUGAGCUUGUGUACAACAUCCACUUAACUGUCAAUUUCCAAGUGUCAUUGUUCAAGAAUUGUCAGAACGUCUAGGUUUACACAUCAAGAACACCAGGGGCAAGCCCCAGCAUCUGUACUAA